UUGUAUAAAAAUCCAAGCUUGACAAUCAAAUUCAUUUUUAGUACAGUAUAUUUGUAUGUGUGGAUUUGUAUUAGUAAUUAGCUCCAUUGAGAAGGAUGCCCAAGGCUGCAUAUACAAUGCUUCCCUUUCCCACUUAAACAAAUUUACAGUUAAAUGUAGUUAAAGUAUUAGUAUGCUAUAUUAAGUCCAAAGAUUAUGAAUUCAACAACAGAGCAGAAGGUAUAGAGGUUGGAGAGAGGGGGAGUUGCGUUGGGGGCAGGAUGAGGUGGUGGUGGCGGUGGGAUGAUGUGGUGGUGGUGGCAAGAUGUGGUGGUUAGGGUUUCAGGGUUAGGAAAUUGAGGAAGAUGAUGUUUAUAUGCUUUUUUUGUUCUAUUUAUUAAACAUUUAAAUAAAAGUAUGAAUUUACCAUAAUACUCUUAAGUGAAUAAAUUUAACAAAAAAAUUUAACCAGGUUAGUGAUAAAGGACGUACAGUGUAACGAGUUUUGCAAAUAAAGGAUUGUGACUAUAAUUAUUGAAGUUAAAGGUUAUCCGUUGCAAUCUGGUACAAACAUAAAGGACGAAAAGGGUAAUUUACCCUAUAAAAUAUUAACUUGUACAAUUUUAGGAUAGAACUUUCUUCUUUCUAGCUUGUUAUAACUCAACAGUCGUGCCCGAAAACAAUUACAUAUGUAGGCAGCAUCGAAAACAAUUACAUAUGUAGGCAGCAUCGGAUAUACGAACUUUUGGUGUAUUUACGUUUACUCAUGAAACAUAAAGGACGAAAAGUGCAAUUUAGCUUAAUUCAAACUAAAAACUACGUGUAUAUGAUGCAUCAUUUGUGUAUCAAUUAUUACCUUGUAAUUAUUACCUCGUAUAUUAUCAAUGUGAGUAAUGAGCUAUUAUGGUAAAUGAUUUGCAUACCUCAAUAUGGUAUAAAAGAAUUAGAUAAUUACAAAAUACACACUACAUAUUAACACGUUAACAUCUCCCUGCAAGAAAACGGUGAUGGACGAAUGCCAAGUUUGUCACAAAAGAAUUCAAUUUGAUGACGUGAGAAACUCUUUGUGAAAUUGUUUGUACUCUGGAGCUUGGUUGGAAUGAAGCAAGUAUACAAGUUUCCUGAGGCAACAAGUUCCCUGAUAGAAUGACAGUCAAGGUCAAUGUGUUUGGAUCAUUUGUUGGAGACCGAGUUUUGAGUGAGGAAGAUUACAUUUUUAUUAUCACAUAGGAGGGUUGGUUGAUUAGGAAAUAGAGCGCGAAGCUCACGGAGGAGAUGGGAAAUCCAUACAAAUUCAGCGGCGGUGCUAGCUAUAGUAAGGUCCUUAUACUGAAGAGCACCAAGAAGAGACGUAUACAUAGUAAGGUCCUUGUACGGGACCCUAUCUUUAACAAAGGGUGCAUUUGGAGAUAAUGAAGUGUAAGUGGGCUUGCUGUCAAGAAAGACAGCACGCUCCAGAAUAUCAUGGACAUAUUUAGUUUGGCUUAAAAACAACCCAUUAGGUGUGUAAACAACUUCAAGACCCAAAAAGUAGCUUAGUUUGCCGAGGUCUUUGAUAGCAAAUUCCUGAUAACCUGUAAGUAUUAGGUCAGCAACAUAGACUAAAAGGUACAUAGUGCAUCCGUGUUGUUUAAAGAUAAACAAGGAGGUGUCGACACGACUGUAGGCAAAUCCAUUAAAAGAAGAAAUGUACUCAACUAGUGAAACCAGGCCCAAGGUGCCUGUUUGAGACCAUAUAAAGCCUUGUUCAACCGACAUACAUGAUUAGUAAAUCGAGAGUCUGCAAAUCCAGGCGGUUAAUCCAUAAAUAUAGUCUCAUUGAUAUGGCUAUGCAAGAAGGCAUUGUUGACGUCCAACUGGUGCAGUUUCCAAUUGUUUAGGACAACAAUGAAUAAAAAACAAUGCGAAUUGUGGAGGCUUUAACAAUUAGACUAAACGUGUGAUGACAAUCUAACUCAGGGACUUGGCUAAAGCCCUGCGCAACAAGACGUGCCUUAUAGCGAUCAAUGCUGCCAUCGACUUUAUGUUUAAUCCGAAACAACCAUUUGGACCCCACAAUGUUCUGGUUAUUAGGCCUGGGAACUAUAGACCAAGUGUUGUUGUUGGAGAGGGCUAAUGGUGUGCAUUCGGUGUGAUAUAUUUUUAUUAAUAUCUUAAGCCCAUUUUACGCACUAGUCAAGUUUUAAUUUUAUAAAACACGAUAUUAUACUAACACUAAACACACAAUUGGGCAAGUGCACCCAUCGUGAGUGCAGUAUAGUGUUGGCAAGAUACCGAGGUCGUCCAAGGACACAAGAGCUUUUAGUACCAGUUUAUCCUCAAUGUCUAAUCGAUCUAAAUUUUUGGGAAAAAAGUUUU
rnacentral:lncRNA from 1 species